rnacentral:rRNA from 1 species
UUGGAGGGCAAGUCUGGUGCCAGCAGCCGCGGUAAUUCCAGCUCCAAUAGCGUAUAUUAAAGUUGUUGCAGUUAAAAAGCUCGUAGUUGAAUUUCGGGAUCAAUUUAUUGGUCGUGCCAACGGUACGCACUGGUACAAUUGGUUUCUCCCUUCUGACGAAGCAUGAUGUCAUUAAUUUGAUGUCGUGGGGAAUCAGGACUGUUACUUUGAAAAAAUUAGAGUGUUUAAAGCAGGCUUUGGCUUGAAUACAUUAGCAUGGAAUAAUGAAAUAGGACGUUUGAUCUUAUUUCGUUGGUUUCUAAGAUCGACGUAAUGAUUAAUAGGGAUAGUUGGGGGCAUUAGUAUUCAAUUGUCAGAGGUGAAAUUCUUGGAUUUAUUGAAGACUAACUACUGCGAAAGCAUUUGCCAAGGAUGUUUUCAUUAAUCAAGAACGAAAGUUAGGGGAUCGAAGACGAUCAGGUACCGUCGUAGUCUUAACCAUAAACUAUGCCGACUAGGGAUCGGAUGAUGUUAAUUUUUUAAUGACUCAUUCGGCGCCUUACGGGAAAC